AGCCAUGAAUUAUGCAGCAUUAUGAGAAAACUUUGCUUAAAUAUUCAGCAGGUUAAACACGGUGUGUAACUUACAUUCUUUCAAUUUUAAAAGAAAACAGUAUGGUAAAAAUGCUUUGAAAACUUCUGGUUUUCCCCCCCAUUAUGUUUUAAAAGAUGUCCACAAAUAAAGUUAGUGUUUGUAAAGUGGGAUAUGAAUGAACUGUUAAAAAACAGAAAAAGGGUUUAUGCUAAUUUAAAAUGCAGUUGAAUUAAGUAAAUAAGUAUUUAUGGUGGAAAUACAAUUAACUUGUGCUAUCAGUUGUUCAGCCUGCACUGUUGCACUAGCACUUCUGUACUGACCCAGAACAUUACACAGGUACAAAAGUAGGAAUUGCUGCUAGCAACCACCAUUACCAAUAUCAGAAGCAAGAUAGCAUAAAGGAAGAGGUGGGAUUGUGGUUGCUUUGCUUGUCUGUAUCCAUAGGUUACUGACAACUCGGAAGCCAACUCUGCUGCUACAGUUCUGUACUCUGCGUGAUAGUAUAUAUGAACAGGAUUUCAGGUGGUGGGGCAGCAAAGACAUGCUUCUUACUUUGCUUGGAAUAUCAACAGGUGCAGUAGAGGUCACACUGCUGUUGCAGCUGCACACAUCUGUGGAUUCGUGGUUUUGAUCAAAGAAGUAAGUUUAGUAAACAUUUUCUGCCUCUCAUAACUUAUUCCAGUGAAAUCCAAUAAACACUGGUUUCAUCUUAUAUUUCUUCCAAUUUUAUCCUUCCUUCAAGGAGUUACAGGCUCUCUCUUCUGUCCAUUUUAUAAUAAUCAACAGUUCUAUGAGGUAUAUUGAGCUAAGAAAUGUUGACUAGAUUAAGGCUACCCAAUGAGCUUCAGAGCUGAGGAGGUAUCUCUUCCACACUGGUGUUAUCCAAUGUCUUCCAGAUGUUGGGUUACAGUCCCAUAAUCCCUGGCCAAAAGCCAUGCUUUCUGGGGCUGAUGGGAGUUUUAGUCCAACAGUAUCUGGAAGGUGUACUACAUUGGCCAUCCCUGCAUUACACCACAAUCUCUCGUUAUUUUCUUAUCCAUAUUACCUACCAUGACUAUGCUUUUCCCCUCACAAACUUGGAUUGAAACUCCUACUUCAUGUAUAAGAAUGCUCCAAAAGGAAAGGGGAAAAACCUUUUUUUUUUAAUUCUAAAUGCCUUCAUUUUACUGAUAGAAUUAUAGUUUAAAAAUGUAACGGGUAACUUAAUUGAUGUUAGUUCAUGUUGAGAGAAGUUCUUUUAGUUCAGACAGUUCAAUGUGAAAAUUGCAUUACAGUAGAAAACGAUACUGAAUAGCAAGAUGGUAAGAGUUUGCCUAUGCACAUGAAUUGACAAUGUGGUAAAACGGAAACAAAUUGUGAUGACAAGGGAUUGCCCUUAUUAACAAAAAUUAACUAAUCACAGUGUCUGGGUGGCAUCUACCUGGCAUUUCUUAAAAGAUUUCAAAUGUUAAAUUGCUGGUCUUUUAACAAAAAUAAGAUCAGACACACUCUGAGGAUUAUAAAGUAGCCAACUUUUUUUUUGGCGGUGGGAGGGAUGUGGGAAAUAACAGGCCAGUUAGCUUAACAUCUGUUCCAGGAAAAUUGGUGGAAAGCAUUAUUAAAGAUAGAAUUGUGAGGUAUAUAAAAGUACAAGAGUUGUUGAAACAAAACCAGCAUGACUUCUGCAAGGGUAAGUCCUGUCUCAACAUUCUAGAGUUCUCUGAGAGUGUCAACAAGCAUAUCGGUUGAGAUGACCCGGUUGAUACUGUGUACUUAAAACUUCUAAAAAGCUUUUGAUAAAGUAACUCACCAAAGACUCCUGAGUAAGCGUAACAGACAUGAAAUGAGAGGUCCUCUUAUGGAUCAGGAAUUGGUUAAGUAGCAAGAAGCACAGAGUAAGAAUAAAUGGACAGUUCUCCCAGUGGAGGACUCCAAAGGAUCAGUAUGGGACCUGUACUUCUUAAUGUAUUCAUUAAUGAUCUAGCGUUUGGGUUGAUCAGGGAGGUAGCCAAAUUUGCUGUUGAUAGCAAAUUGUUCAAUGUGGCUAAAAAGAAUUGCAGGCAGUUCCAAAAGGAUCUCCAAACUGGGUGAAUGGGCAGUAAGAUGGCAAAUGCAAUUCAAAGUAUAUGCUAAUGGAACCUGAAUUUUCAGUGACUGGCCAGAAAUGAGACACACAGAGGAUAAGCGUGAACCAAAUAGCAAAAGUGAUGUCCACGUUCGGGAUCUUUAAAACUGUCAAUAUAAUGUUAUACAUAUCUGGUGAGACCACACUUGAAAUACUGUGUGCAGUUUUGGUCACCUCAAGUUGGAAAAGGUUCAGAAAAAGGCAACCAAAUUGGAUCAUGGGACUGGAACAACAAGUGCAUAAGGAAAACUUAACAACAUUCAGGCUCUUUAUUUUAGAAAAGAGGUGAGUACACUUGAUCUUACCCAAAAAGCCAAGAAGUGAUGAUAAGGAUGUAGAAAAUCAUGUAUGGUAGGAAGAAUAACUCUAUAAUUCUAUAAUUUUGACCAUCCAAUGAAGCCAAAUGCUGGAAGUUUCAGGAAAAACUUUUUUCUGGUCCUAGAAAUAGGGGUAGAAAUGGUGUAGUAUACAGGACAGCUGGUUGUGUACAGGUGUGACACGUUGACUUCUCUUGUCAAAUACAAUUUAAUUUUCUUGUAAGCACUAGAAAAUAUAUCUGUGGUCACCAGCUACCUUAGUAAACAAAGAUCAUUGAGGUGGUUUUCUGCAACUUCAGUGAAGGUUAAUGUUUAAAGUUUAUGCAAGUUGAAUUAAGUUCUAGGUUUUCAGAAUGAAUUGUUUCGGGUUAUUAACAUAUGCAUGCAUCUACAGUGUUGUCUUUUUUGUUACGGAUCUGGGAUUCUUCCUGUUGGGGAGACAAUGGCAUAGUUGCAUUGAGGGAUAUAAGUAGCCUCUUGAAUAUUGUGGGUAUUGUUCUCUGGCACAUUUCUUAUUCUAAUCUGAAUAAGAGGAAUCUCAUAGAAUGUGAUUGCAUAAUACAUGUGCUUUAGUGUGUUGCUACAUUUGAUUUAAGUGGUCAUCGGCCACUUUACUAACACCAAGCAUUUGCUCAGAUUUGAGAAUUAAAUUUUAAAUACUUGGGGGCAAAUAAAUAUUGGUAUGGAUACAUUUCAGGGCACUUAGGUGGAAUCUACACAAAUAUAAAAAUCGUUCUGAAAAUGCUUUUUUUUUAAAAAAAAAAGAAAACAUUUUUAAAAAUACAUUGAACUUAGCAUAAGGCUCACUAUCGCUAUCUAGUGUAACAUUGUAUAUUGCACUUAAAACACUGUUUUAUUUGCAGCUGUAUAGCUGAGUCCUUAGAUUAAAAACUACAGGUAGUUAAAGUGCAAACAAGCUAUGUUAAUUCAUUUUUUCCAGUGAGUCUUGAGUAUGACUGACGUUGGAUAUCAUUCUAAGUCUUCCUAGACAAGGGGUUGUUUAUCACAUUAGAGUGAUUUAGUGGUGUACACAAACUAUUUCGAGCACACCCACCCACCCAUGCUUCCUGGGAACUGUGGUUUGCACCUCAUGGAGCUACAAUUCCCAGCACUCUUAUCAAACUACUGUUCUUACGAUUCUUCAGGUGUGUGCUUUAAAUGUAUGGUGCAUAUGCAGUCAUAGUGAUUUGCGUCAGAUCCUGAUGAUGUUUCGCAACUUGUUGAAUCGUUCCUGGGAUCUUGCCCGUUAGCUGCUGAAUUAGUGUGCCUUCCCCUCCCUCACUGCCCUAAUUGCAGGGGAGCCUGUUGGUUACUGCAUGGAGGUCCAAUGUAGUGCUUUCCAGGUGUUUUGAACUGUAACUCUCAGCCAGCAUGGCCUGUACUUAGGAGUGAUGGUAGCUGUAAACAACAUUUGGAGGGCACUGCAUUGACUACCCCCUGAUUAGUGUCUCUUGAGAGCACUUAAAGAACAACACAUUCUUCCUCCUGCUGGUGUCUGACAUUUACAAUUUUUAAAAGUUAGGGGCGGGGCUUGCAUUCUUCUAUGGAUAGGGAUUUUGCAUCUCCACCCUCACUCCAACUUUUAAAAAAUAAUAUACCUGGAGAAGCUACUGGCAGCUUCCAUGCAUUAAAGUUAUCUUUUUCCUCCACUCCAGCACAAAAAAAAAAUCCAACACCAUCGGAACGAGCAAAGCACAAUGCUAAUUCUAGCUUUUUAGCUUUAACACUGGGAGAAAGUCCUCUGAAUCUUUUUUAACAUUUAGUUGAAAAGUCAGCAGCUGAACAUAGGUUAGUGGAACAGAAAUAAGACUGGUUGCCAAAAUACCUGGCAAUAUUAGAAUGGGGGGUGGGGGGAAAGUAUUUUAAGUAACUUCCAAGUUGCUGUUUUUAAAAGUAUGGCAACAGGGCAAUCCUGUAUGCAUUUCAGGCCUCGGGAGCAGAGUAAUUUUUAUGUUGUGACCAGCCAGUACUUUUGCAAGAGACCUUGGCAUUCCAUUCUAGAGAAGCCUUGGGGAGGGUUGCACAACAGAAGCCUCUAGCAUAGACAAAAUAAAACAAUGGUAAUGACAGGGCAAAAAGCAAUGGUUUGAUAAAUAUGCAGUGUUCACUCUUGAUGACCACCCUUUAUUUCUAGUUUAUUUGAGCAAUUCUGAUACUUCCUGAGAAUAUUUGAACAGAUCUAACAAUAACAAGGUUGGUAUUUAUUUGCAUGAACUGUGUCCCCCCUUUUUUUUCUGGGGGGAGUUUUCUUGCCCAGUUCUUCCUGUCCUGAAGGUAUACUGGAGUGGAAUAUUUCAGGUGAGCUUCAUAAUGUAAAAGAAAAAGAGGUAGAUAACAAAAAUGAAAGUUAAUUAUCCAUAGUUACCUGUUACUAUAAAAUUUCUGGUAUCAUCACUGAAAUGUGUCAAAUCACUGUAUUUUAAACAAAUACAUUAAAAUGCUUAUUG
rnacentral:lncRNA from 1 species